rnacentral:rRNA from 1 species
CUGUCCGGUACAGGGGGAUAAGCGGCGGAAACGCCGUCUAAUACCGCGUGACAACCCGAGGGGGCAUCCCCUUGGGUUCAAAGGAGAGAUCCGGUACCGGCUGGGCAUGCGGCGCAUUAGCUAGUUGGCGGGGCAACGGCCCACCAAGGCGACGAUGCGUAGGGGUUCUGAGAGGAAGGUCCCCCACACUGGAACUGAGACACGGUCCAGACUCCUACGGGAGGCAGCAGUGAGGAAUAUUGGUCAAUGGGCGCAAGCCUGAACCAGCCAAGUCGCGUGAGGGAAGACGGCCCUACGGGUUGUAAACCUCUUUUGCCGGGGAGCAAGCCUGAGCACGUGUGCCCAGGCGGAGAGUACCCGGAGAAAAAGCAUCGGCUAACUCCGUGCCAGCAGCCGCGGUAAUACGGAGGAUGCGAGCGUUAUCCGGAUUUAUUGGGUUUAAAGGGUGCGCAGGCGGGCUGUUAAGCCGGCGGUAAAAAUUCAGGGCUCAACCCUGUCGAGCCGUCGGAACUGGCAGUCUUGAGUGGGCGAGAAGUAUGCGGAAUGCGUGGUGUAGCGGUGAAAUGCAUAGAUAUCACGCAGAACGCCGAUUGCGAAGGCAGCAUACCGGCGCCCAACUGACACUGAGGCACGAAAGCGUGGGGAUCGAACAGGAUUAGAUACCCUGGUAGUCCACGCAGUAAACGAUGA